GGCUGGUCCUCCUCAUCGUCAGCUGUCUCUGUGGUCUGUGGUAGAAAAGGUACAAUUAAAUGAAAGAAAAAAAAAAAAAGAAAUAUACACAGGCACAACAGUAGGAGCACAAAGCAAGGGCGGAAGCUCCGUAUCUUAACAGGAGUUUUCCGGACUCAAGCCAGUGGCUUCAUACAUGGGUUUUUGAGGUUUGUAAGAAACAGCAAUAGUCUGAGUCCUAGGAACAAACGGCCCUAGGAACAUUGCCAACCCAUAAGCAUGUAAGAAUUUUGUUUUCUCUCCUUGAACACUCAUCAGCUUCUCAUGUUCAUCAACUGAUUAUUCAACUGGAGUGGGCUACAACUACCAUUCACCACCUUCUUAUGAGAAACUGUGUCCGUGGAGGAGAAGACUUGAUGACCACCAUCUCCCCAUCUUCCCAUUUCCUCGAAGACAGAGUCACAAGACUCAGAUUCCUUGGGAAGGAGAGCACUGAUAAUAUUUCUUUCUCUCUUUGUUUUUUAGAACACUGAUCUCCAUCAGGCAAAUGAAAGUAACCACAGAAACAAUUCAGUAAUACUACUAAGAGAGGUUAACUUCCCACUGGCCUUGGAAGAGUCAAGCACAUCGAUUUUGUGUAGUGGUUGUGACUUUUUCACCUGCUUAACCACAGUUGAAUUCUAAACCAUUGUACUUGUAGCCAAAGGUGACUUAUGCAAACAUAUGCCUCAGUCCUCAGAAACAGAAGGCAGAAGUCGAGCAAGACACUGACUUGGGUGUCAGAGCCAGGGAACAAACUUCAGAGUUUCUGACUUGGCAGCCAGUGGCCAGCGUUUUAUUUGUCAGCCACUGAAGUCAGCAGCUUCUGAAGUCAGAGCUGGAAGAGACGGAGGGAGGAUCUGGGCCCAGCAGGGUGACCAUUAGCCUGUCAGAUGGGCCCUCAGCACUUCUAAAACAGCACUGUAGACAUCAUCAAUCACUCGCUUCCCUGCUUGUUUAAAAAUGAAAGUGCAGCAGUGGACCACGCAUGAGAUCUAAAAAUAUCAACAGGAACUUUUCCACUGAUGCUUCCUUUUGAGAUCAUAUAAAUAACUUUAGACUAAAGCUCUCAUUCCUGGGGCUCUUGCUUCCAGCACCGCACACUUUCCAAACAGUAACAGCACCCUACUUCAGCGCCUGUGCCCCUAAAGAGGUGGCAGGUGUGGCAGGCUUAGGUCAGCUGGCCUCCAGGAGGGUCAGUACUGGAUGAGAGGCCGGGCUCGCAGCAGUGCUAUCUCAUAUUUAUCUGGCAAAGCUGAGGUCCUGUCGAAAGUAUGUGCAGUGGUUUAUACAAUCUCUUCAACUCUCUCUAGGAGUUAAAAUUUGAAAUAAAUAAUAAAAAAGGGAUAACAAGCCAUAUUGAAAAAGGUUGGUAACAACAGGUUCUUCUGCUUUGGGUAUAUGUCCUUGGCAGUGGGUAAAAGAAUUUGUAAACAGCAAAUAUGAGGAAAUUAAGGGGAUUAGUUAUAAUAAUAAGGCAGAAUCAGGAAGCUGGCCGUUUAUUUUGGUCCCCUGGAUCCUUAUAAAUGCACACCUCACACUUCCUAUUUCUUUGCUAUGAAAUUCUCAUGUUACUCCAUCCAUUGCUUUCUUGAUUCCAUCCUCAGAGCUCCCAUCUUUGAUGGAAGCUUGGUGUGCCGGCUCUGGUCCCUCUUCUAUGCCACCUCCUCUCUCCCUUGUGAAUGUAGCAGGUGUAGAGAAUAUUAUUCCCUAUUGGGCUCACCAGCCUCUCAAGGUGUCACCUGGCUACGUGAAUAAUCUCUGUGCCAUGGAGCCAAUGUGGAUUAAGGAGACAGGUAUAUUUUCCUGUCUGUUCCCUCCCAGAUGUGAUCAUUCUUAUUUAACGCAAAUGAAUCAUUUUCCCCUUCCCACCUGGCAGAUGCCCCAGAAAUGGGCAUGGGAGCCUUGCAGGUACUGCCGCAUUCUUAAUAAAUACUCCAUCUCACAUGAGAGAGAGGAUUUGUUUUCCAGCAGAGGGUCAGUCAACUUGCCUGAAGACCCAUCAAGCUGAUGAGUUCAUUAAAGCUCCUCCCGCUUCUGGCACUGAUGCCUCCCCCAGCUCUGUUCAUCACUACUAUCCACAAUCUAGCAACUUGUCUCUCAACUUCGAGCUAACCUUUUUCUGAGAAAAAACAAAAGCAACUCUUCAUGAUUCAUAUCAUUUUAAUGACACCAACAGAUGGUGACAUUUCAUCAGUAACCCUUCUGCUUAUAACCUAUGGAUUAGCUCCUUUCUCCAUCUGCCAAAGUCACCAGGCAGGCAUUGCCACUAGCAAAUAGCAGAAAAUAAUUGUCUGUUUAGAUGCAUAAGCUCUAAACACACUACUGUCCAAUGCAAACAAUUAGCUAUAUUGUACAGCUUCCAAAGCGGCAUUGGAGGUAGCUGUUGCUAGGGCAGAAAUGGACUAGGAGAAGAGACUGUCUCAGGCUGUGCCAACAGGGCUCUCCCUGGAAACUUGACAGCCUCUUGGGGGCCAAGUCCUGCUCUAGGGAAGAACAGCAGCCUAGAAUCCUGGGGUGGAUUUGAGAGGUGCCCCAAGAGCAAGGCUGUCGGCAUACUUUAGGUGAAAUUCUCUUUGCCAAGUAAAGUCUCACUCUGGCUCAAUGGGAGACAGCUUGCAAGCUGGUUCGAGAAGUGGAAG